CGGGUGGCUGUGGACGCCGCUCGAGAAUCCCGCAGGGGUCCUCCUCGCUGAGAAGCGCUCAUGGCACAGCACCACCUGCGCUUCUCACACCGGCGACACUUUAACACAAAUGUCUACGCUUUACCGAGUGGCGUCGCCUGAGAACCGGGACCCCGCCGAGCCCUUCUCACAUGUCACCUGCUCGCUUCUCCCAGCAACUAGAUGCGGCAAGUACUUGAGAACUGGCUCCACAAUUUGGAAGUUAUUGGCCCUACAAAGUGCCUGCAUAAAAAGGGGUUCACCAGCUGCUGGUUUGGGGUUAACAGACAGGGAGACAAAUGCCUGCAUCAGACGUGGGUGACCACAAGAAAGUGACUUGCCCAAGGUGACAGGGAGGCCUGGGAGGCUGCAGGUCCACCUGGCAGGGGCGUGGGUGUGAAGAAGCCUCCACAGUUGAAACUGAGGGAGUCACGGAUGCGGCGGCUGCAGUCCUGGAAGCGGAUGUUCCUCCUGGCAGAGGCGGCACAGCAGGCUAGGAGGGAUCCCUGGGCCCCCAGCACGGGAGACGUGAGAGACUAAGAGCAGCCAGAGGGCAGAGGGGGUUACCCAGGACCAAGGCAGAGACCAAUGCCUGGCUCGAGGAGGGCAGGGCGGUGGGCAUCAACGUGCAGGACCCAGCAGGAUAGGACCAAGGAGCUCGGUGACUCGACGAGAAGCCACAGUAUGGGCAGGAAGCUGGGUUGCAGGGGAGAAGCAGACGGGCUUGGGCCCUGAGCGUCCUGCACGCCCACUCUGGGCACGCCAGGAAGGCCAGUCCCUGCCUGCUGCGUGCCUCUCUGCCAGGGCUGUGUUCACAGCAACAGCCUUGGAGGAUGAGGCGCUACCUCCCUCCCGGUCAGCGCCAGCAGGCUCGCUCUGAAAGCAGGAGACCCCCAGCUCCAUGUUGCCACGCAGCGAUGCAAGCCCUAGGGACAGCGCUGGGUCACCUCACAGGACCGGGGCGGGGCGCCGGCUCUCGUGCUUGCUGUGCUGUGCGGGAGCAGCAGGGUUCCUUGUCUCUGGCCCAGGAGUCUCUUGUCUCCUGCCAGCAACCAUGAAACAGUGACAGGCGACCUUGCCAGCUCAUAAAAAGGUAAAAUCCCAGCCCCUGGCGAGCAGUCACAAAGGGGAGCAGUUGGUUCGGACUCUCGUCCCACGGAAGCCGGGACCGCCUUGGCCGUGGUGAGAACAGAGAGGAGACGGUGACAGGGGGAUGGCACCACCUGCCUCGCAAGCUCCUGGAGGACAGUCCCCUGAUACGCUGAGUCCUAGCCCGGCAGUGACAGGCCAGCACAGACACCUCCGAGCUCCCGGCCCCUGUGGCUGCCCAUCCGCCCUUGUCCCAGGGAGCAAGAGGAGCCACCGUAGGUGUCAGCCGUGCAGCCAAGCUCCAGCCUCCAGGGCGACCCUCUGCCCCCACGACCCCGCGCUGCAGGCGGGUGGCAGGUCGCCGUGGGAGAGGCGUGCGCCCACGUGCUGGCGGGCGGCUCUG